ensembl:snoRNA
GAGCAAUGAUGAGUUUAAUUUGCCUGACUGCAAAAAAUGAAGGCUUCUACACUUGAACUGAGCUCA